GUCGAGCGGUAGAGAGAAGCUUGCUUCUCUUGAGAGCGGCGGACGGGUGAGUAAUGCCUAGGAAUCUGCCUGGUAGUGGGGGAUAACGUUCGGAAACGGACGCUAAUACCGCAUACGUCCUACGGGAGAAAGCAGGGGACCUUCGGGCCUUGCGCUAUCAGAUGAGCCUAGGUCGGAUUAGCUAGUUGGUGGGGUAAUGGCUCACCAAGGCGACGAUCCGUAACUGGUCUGAGAGGAUGAUCAGUCACACUGGAACUGAGACACGGUCCAGACUCCUACGGGAGGCAGCAGUGGGGAAUAUUGGACAAUGGGCGAAAGCCUGAUCCAGCCAUGCCGCGUGUGUGAAGAAGGUCUUCGGAUUGUAAAGCACUUUAAGUUGGGAGGAAGGGCAGUAAAUUAAUACUUUGCUGUUUUGACGUUACCGACAGAAUAAGCACCGGCUAACUCUGUGCCAGCAGCCGCGGUAAUACAGAGGGUGCAAGCGUUAAUCGGAAUUACUGGGCGUAAAGCGCGCGUAGGUGGUUCGUUAAGUUGGAUGUGAAAUCCCCGGGCUCAACCUGGGAACUGCAUUCAAAACUGACGAGCUAGAGUAUGGUAGAGGGUGGUGGAAUUUCCUGUGUAGCGGUGAAAUGCGUAGAUAUAGGAAGGAACACCAGUGGCGAAGGCGACCACCUGGACUGAUACUGACACUGAGGUGCGAA
rnacentral:rRNA from 1 species